AAGGAUUUAAGUUAAAUAAACUAUCAACCUUCAAAGUUGGAAAUAAGACCCUAUUUUUAAGCCUUA
rnacentral:tRNA from 1 species